rnacentral:rRNA from 1 species
GAUGAACGCUGGCGGCGUGCCUAAUACAUGCAAGUCGAGCGAAGCGGGGACGGGUGAGUAACACGUGGAUAACCUCCUCUAAGACUGGGAUAACUUCGGGAAACCGGAGCUAAACCGGAUACUUAUCGAUGGAUCCUCGCUGCAUUAGCUAGUUGGUAAGGUAACGGUUUACCAACGCAACGAUGAAUAGCCGACCUGAGAGGGUGAGGGGCCACACUGGAAUUGAGACACGGUCCAGAUUCCUACGGGAGGCAGCAGUAGGGAAUCUUCCGCAAUGGGCGAAAGCCUGACGGAGCAACGCGGCGUGAGUGAUGAAGGUCCUCGGAUAGUAAAACUCUGUUAUGAGGGAAGCGGUACCUAAUCAGAAAGCCACGGCUAACUACGAGCCAGCAGCCGCGGUAAUAC